rnacentral:rRNA from 1 species
AGCGAACGCUGGCGGCAGGCUUAACACAUGCAAGUCGAGCGGGCACUUUCGGGUGUCAGCGGCGGACGGGUGAGUAACGCGUGGGAACGUGCCCUCUGGUUCGGAAUAACUCAGGGAAACUUGAGCUAAUACCGGAUACGCCCUUUUGGGGAAAGGCUUGCUGCCGGAGGAUCGGCCCGCGUCUGAUUAGCUAGUUGGUGAGGUAACGGCUCACCAAGGCGACGAUCAGUAGCUGGUCUGAGAGGAUGAUCAGCCACACUGGGACUGAGACACGGCCCAGACUCCUACGGGAGGCAGCAGUGGGGAAUAUUGGACAAUGGGCGCAAGCCUGAUCCAGCCAUGCCGCGUGAGUGAUGAAGGCCUUAGGGUUGUAAAGCUCUUUUAUCCGGGACGAUAAUGGCGGUACCGGAGGAAUGAGCCCCGGCUAACUUCGUG